GUGCCAGCCGCCGCGGUAAUACGAAGGGGGCUAGCGUUGUUCGGAGUUACUGGGCGUAAAGGGCGCGUAGGCGGCCCUCCAAGUCGGGUGUGAAAGCCCACGGCUCAACCGUGGAAUUGCACUCGAGACUGAAGGGCUCGAGGACGGGAGAGGAUGGUGGAAUUCCCAGUGUAGAGGUGAAAUUCGUAGAUAUUGGGAAGAACACCGGUGGCGAAGGCGGAUCUCUGGGCCUUACCUGACGCUCAGGUGCGAAAGCUAGGGGAGCGAACAGGAUUAGAUACCCUGGUAGUCCACGCCGUAAACGAUGGGUGCUAGGUGUGGGCGGUGUCGACUCCGUCCGUGACGAAGCUAACGCAUUAAGCACCCCGCCUGGGGAGUACGGCCGCAAGGCUAAGACUCAAAUGAAUUGGCGG
rnacentral:rRNA from 1 species